rnacentral:rRNA from 1 species
CCUGCUUCCAGGAAAAGCCUCUAAGCAUCAGGUAACAUCAAAUCGUACCCCAAACCGACACAGGUGGUCAGGUAGAGAAUACCAAGGCGCUUGAGAGAACUCGGGUGAAGGAACUAGGCAAAAUGGUGCCGUAACUUCGGGAGAAGGCACGCUGAUAUGUAGGUGAGGUCCCUCGCGGAUGGAGCUGAAAUCAGUCGAAGAUACCAGCUGGCUGCAACUGUUUAUUAAAAACACAGCACUGUGCAAACACGAAAGUGGACGUAUACGGUGUGACGCCUGCCCGGUGCCGGAAGGUUAAUUGAUGGGGUUAGCGCAAGCGAAGCUCUUGAUCGAAGCCCCGGUAAACGGCGGCCGUAACUAUAACGGUCCUAAGGUAGCGAAAUUCCUUGUCGGGUAAGUUCCGACCUGCACGAAUGGCGUAAUGAUGGCCAGGCUGUCUCCACCCGAGACUCAGUGAAAUUGAACUCGCUGUGAAGAUGCAGUGUACCCGCGGCAAGACGGAAAGACCCCGUGAACCUUUACUAUAGCUUGACACUGAACAUUGAGCCUUGAUGUGUAGGAUAGGUGGGGGGCUUUGAAGUGUGGACGCCAGUCUGCAUGGAGCCGACCUUGAAAUACCACCCUUUAAUGUUUGAUGUUCUGACGUUGACCCGUAAUCCGGGUUGCGGACAGUGUCUGGUGGGUAGUUUGACUGGGGCGGUCUCCUCCUAAAGAGUAACGGAGGAGCACGAAGGUUGGCUAAUCCUGGUCGGACAUCAGGAGGUUAGUGCAAUGGCAUAAGCCAGCUUGACUGCGAGCGUGACGGCGCGAGCAGGUGCGAAAGCAGGUCAUAGUGAUCCGGUGGUUCUGAAUGGAAGGGCCAUCGCUCAACGGAUAAAAGGUACUCCGGGGAUAACAGGCUGAUACCGCCCAAGAGUUCAUAUCGACGGCGGUGUUUGGCACCUCGAUGUCGGCUCAUCACAUCCUGGGGCUGAAGUAGGUCCCAAGGGUAUGGCUGUUCGCCAUUUAAAGUGGUACGCGAGCUGGGUUUAGAACGUCGUGAGACAGUUCGGUCCCUAUCUGCCGUGGGCGCUGGAGAACUGAGGGGGGCUGCUCCUAGUACGAGAGGACCGGAGUGGACGCAUCACUGGUGUUCGGGUUGUCAUGCCAAUGGCACUGCCCGGUAGCUAAAUGCGGAAGAGAUAAGUGCUGAAAGCAUCUAAGCACGAAACUUGCCCCGAGAUGAGUUCUCCCUGACUCCUUGAGAGUCCUGAAGGAACGUUGAAGACGACGACGUUGAUAGGCCGGGUGUGUAAGCGCAGCGAUGCGUUGAGCUAACCGGUACUAAUGAACCGUGAGGCUUAACCU